CCUACGGGAGGCAGCAGUAGGGAAUCUUCCACAAUGGGCGCAAGCCUGAUGGAGCAACGCCGCGUGAGUGAAGAAGGUCUUCGGAUCGUAAAACUCUGUUGUUAGAGAAGAAAGUGCGUGAGAGUAACUGUUCACGUUUUGACGGUAUCUAACCAGAAAUCCACGGCUAACUACGUGCCAGCAGCCGCGGUAAUACGUAGGUGGCAAGCGUUAUCCGGAUUUAUUGGGCGUAAAGCGAACGCAGGCGGUGUUUUAGGUCUGAUGUGAAAGCCUUCGGCUAAACCGGAGUAGUGCGUGGGAAACGGGGGGACGUGAGUGCAGAAGAGGAGAGUGGAACUCCAUGUGUAGCGGUGAAAUGCGUAGAUAUAUGGAGGAACACCAGUGGCGAAGGCGGCUCACUGGACUGUAACUGACGCUGAGGUUCGAAAGCGUGGGUAGCAAACAGGAUUAGAUACCCCAGUAGUC
rnacentral:rRNA from 1 species